rnacentral:lncRNA from 1 species
CAAAAGAGACCUCCCAGAUACAUUCUCCUCUAAGCUCUAAGCACUAUCUCUAAACUCUGCUAAAAUCCCAUUUGAGUGCUCCAUUUCUGUUGAAGCAGAGUACUGACUUGAGUAUCGGAGGGUCUUGCCGGAGCACCCCCAACUCCAGUUUAGACUUUCCUUGUAGAUAUCAGCGGCGGCCAUGAUCUUUUUGACUCCAGCUUCUCCGACAUCGGCAAAAUUCUGCACCAACAACAGUC